CCUACGGGUGGCAGCAGUGAGGAAUAUUGGUCAAUGGACGAGAGUCUGAACCAGCCAAGUAGCGUGAAGGAUGAAUGCCCUCUGGGUUGUAAACUUCUUUUAUAUGGGAAUAAAACGUUCCACGUGUGGGAUUUUGUAUGUACCAUAUGAAUAAGGAUCGGCUAACUCCGUGCCAGCAGCCGCGGUAAUACGGAGGAUCCGAGCGUUAUCCGGAUUUAUUGGGUUUAAAGGGAGCGUAGGUGGGUUGUUAAGUCAGUUGUGAAAGUUUGCGGGUCAACCGUAAAAUUGCAGUUGAAACUGGCAGUCUUGAGUAGAGGAGAGGUAGGCGGAAUGCGUGGUGUAGCGGUGAAAUGCUUAGAUAUCACGCAGAACUCCGAUUGCGAAGGCAGUACACUGGACUGCAACUGACGCUGAGGCACGAAAGUGUGGGUAUCAAACAGGAUUAGAUACCCGGGUAGUC
rnacentral:rRNA from 1 species